rnacentral:rRNA from 1 species
GAGUGAAGCGGCAACAGCUCAAAUUUGAAAUCUGGCUCUUUCAGGGUCCGAGUUGUAAUUUGUAGAGGGUGCUUUGGUGUUGGCCGUGGUCUAAGUUCCUUGGAACAGGACGUCACAGAGGGUGAGAAUCCCGUACGUGGCCGCCGGUCUUCACCGUGUAAAGCCCCUUCGACGAGUCGAGUUGUUUGGGAAUGCAGCUCUAAAUGGGAGAUAAAUUUCUUCUAAAGCUAAAUAUUGGCCAGAGACCGAUAGCGCACAAGUAGAGUGAUCGAAAGAUGAAAAGCACUUUGGAAAGAGAGUCAAAAAGCACGUGAAAUUGUUGAAAGGGAAGCGCUUGCAGCCAGACGUGCCCGCAGUUGCUCACCUGGGCUCUCGCCCGGGGCAUUCUUCUGCGGGCAGGCCAGCAUCAGUUCGGGCGGUUGGAUAAAGGCCUCUAUCACGUAUCUUCCUUCGGGAUGACCUUAUAGGGGAGGCGCAACACGGCCAGCCUGAACUGAGGACCGCGCAUCAGCUAGGAUGCUGGCGUAAUGGCUGUAAGCGGCCCGUCUUGAAACACGGACCAAGGAGUCUAACAUCUAUGCGAGUGUUUGGGUGUCAAGCCCGGGCGCGCAAUGAAAGUGAACGGAGGUGGGAACCUUUCGGGGUGCACCAUCGACCGAUCCUGAAGUCUUCGGAUGGAUUUGAGUAAGAGCAUAGCUGUUGGGACCCGAAAGAUGGUGAACUAUGCCUGAAUAGGGUGAAGCCAGGGGAAACCCUGGUGGAGGCUCGCAGCGGUUCUGACGUGCAAAUCGAUCGUCAAAUUUGGGCAUAGGGCGAAAGA